AUUGAACGCUGGCGGCAGGCCUAACACAUGCAAGUCGAGCGGAUGAAGGGAGCUUGCUCCUGGAUUCAGCGGCGGACGGGUGAGUAAUGCCUAGGAAUCUGCCUGGUAGUGGGGGAUAACGUCCGGAAACGGGCGCUAAUACCGCAUACGUCCUGAGGGAGAAAGUGGGGGAUCUUCGGACCUCACGCUAUCAGAUGAGCCUAGGUCGGAUUAGCUAGUUGGUGGGGUAAAGGCCUACCAAGGCGACGAUCCGUAACUGGUCUGAGAGGAUGAUCAGUCACACUGGAACUGAGACACGGUCCAGACUCCUACAGGGAGCAGCAGUGGGGAAUAUUGGACAAUGGGCGAAAGCCUGAUCCAGCCAUGCCGCGUGUGUGAAGAAGGUCUUCGGAUUGUAAAGCACUUUAAGUUGGGAGGAAGGGCAGUAAGUUAAUACCUUGCUGUUUUGACGUUACCAACAGAAUAAGCACCGGCUAACUUCGUG
rnacentral:rRNA from 1 species